UUUUGAUGGACAUGCAAGCGGAGGCCGC
rnacentral:piRNA from 1 species